UACCUGCUUCGCCUUUGCAGGCAUUACAGCAGGGGGUACAUAAAAAUAAGCAUCAUAUUUGACACCAAUAAAGAAACUAAUUACACAAAGCGCGGUAAAAAGCAUCAUUCGACACAUUGGAUACAAUCAUAGGCGGAAGAUCAUUCCACUCUCUUAUACAUCUAACAAAAAAUGAAUAGCGGAAGACGUCACCUUUAAAGGAAAAUUCAUUCACUUUGAGACUGUGGUCCCUUCUUUGGGAUAUAUAGGACGGCUCUUGAAUGUACUUCUUCUUAUUGAUUCCAGUUUUAGAAUGGUAGAUAUUAUGGAAAAAUUUCAACCCGUGGUUUCGUCUACGAUCUUUCAAUUCUUCCCAUUUAAGUUUACGUUUGCAUUCUCUCAUGCUAAGUUGACGAUCCCAAUUACCUAGAACGAAUCGCACUGCCCUAUUCUGUAUUUUUUCAAGCGUAUCGAUCAGCUCUUUGGUAUACGGAUCCCAGCAAACGCAUGUGUACUCCAGCAAUGAGCGCACGUGAGUGAAAUACAGUUGUUCUUUUAAAUUAAAUGGAAGUUCGCUGAAAUUUCGCCUUAAGAAACCCAAAACACGUGCAGCCUUUACUUUGAUGUGGUGAACGUGCUUAGACCACCUCAAAUCACUCGUUAAAUAAACUCCUAGAUAUUUAUAUUCCCUGGCCGUGCUUAAAGUAGCGCUAUUUAUGGUAUACGUAUUCAACUGGUAUGAACGUUUCCUCGUAAAUGUGACGUGAACACACUUUUUAACAUUCAACGACAUUUCUGAAUGGGCACACCACGAUGAUAUUACAUUCAAAUCAUGCUGCAGGUAUUCGGAAUCACGUUCAUUCUCUAUAAUCCUGUAAACUACACAGUCAUCCGCGAACAUUCUGAACGAAGAUUUGAGGCCAAUAGUAAUAUCAUUUAUAUACAUCAGAAACAAAAGAGGGCCCAGAACUGAGCCCUGAGGAACUCCUGAGGUCACGGGAACAUAUCCGGAGGAACAACCGUUGAGAACUACCGACUGCUGUCUUAGAGAGAGAUACUCGGCUAUCCAUGCAAUAUCUGAUUCAUUCAGUUUAGAAGGUUAGAAGGUUGGGGCUUACAUCAUAACAGGGCAUCUAAACCUUCCGAUUUCAUCCUCACACCAUCUUCUGGCGGAGCUCUUCUGGACACUUUACAUAAUUUAUGACAGACAGGGAGGUUCUGGUUUAGUCCAGCUGGCAGCUUGGGCAAAUUUUGGACCGAGGCCACGAACUUUGCACAUACUGUUGGGAAGGAUGAAACCUUCAGAAACGUAGACAUCACUUGUUGCUUUCUGUCAAUCCUUGUUCACGUGAGCCCGUAGUAGUCUUACUUGAGGUAGUCAAAGAAACUUGGUGACCUGAUCAGCUAAGUGCAGGUGCCUCCACAGAAGAUUCCUUGCGACGCAUGGCUCAUACUGAUCAAACAUCUGCACGCUGAGGUAAUUUCUGUGGAGACACGCCUGCUGAAGUCGUUUAGCAUAUACAAUCUUCAAAAUUCUUUUUCCGUGACCGACAUCCGAAUGGUGCGAAACCAGUAAACGACGAUCUUAUAUCCUGUGGAAGCUGCUUGUUAUGAAUACAGAACCUUAGGACACACGUGCUGCUGGCAGCCUGGCAAUGAGGGCAACAGUAUGCCCGGAAUCCCGAGGAACAUAUUGAAAAAAAAGCCUGUUGUACUAGAAAUGAAAUCGACAAGGGUGGCAAUAUGGGCUUGUUGGUCAGUCAUCAUGGAAUGGUAUCUGGGUAGUGCAGCAAAACACGGACACAAUAAAAGAAAGCUAGAACUACCUGUGAGCACAUAUAUAUGCACAAGUGCAUGGUUGAAUAAACUCACAGGUGUUUCAUUUGUUUUCUUCUGUUGCUACUUUUUCUUGCAUUUUGAUUGCUACAUAUAUUGUAAUUCCCGCAAAAAGCAUCAGCUGGUAGUCACCACUGUAUUUUGCUAUGCAAUUUGUAUUUUGUUAUGCAAUCUUAGCAUCUCAGCGCGCGCCUGAAGGCGAAAUUGUUGCCUAGGCAAACUAUCGCCGAAGUGGAACGUUUCAGAAUACGUCCCCAUCUACGUGCACAAAUACUUCACUGAAAAACAUUUCAGGCGUAUCUUUGCUUUGUUUUUACUAAAAUUUCUCAGCAAUACAGCAUUUCUUUACUCCAAGUUAUUUAUGAAUCACUAGAUGUCAUUAUCUACGUCGUUCAUACUUACUUUAGGCAGUGAAAACGGCACACCCACCUGCGAGCUUCUCCAAUACCGACGUGUCUGUUAUAAGGCGAUGAUUAUGUAUAUAUAUAUAUAUAUAUUAUUCUGGACAAAUCGGGCGAAGCCAACAUGCUAAGCAUAUAAUGAACGAUGAGUACCAACAAAUGGGAUCUUGUUUUGAAAUCGAACUAGAACUGAAGAAAACGAAAACGCAGGUUAAGAUUACGGCAGAGAUUACGGUUACGGUAGUACCCAUGUAGUGGUUUCAAUACCAUUUUUCAUCAGGCCUGUAAGAAAGUGGCGGUCAGAUGGAGCUGUAUACCGAUAAAGCAUGUAGUUAAGUUACAAAUAUUGCCCUUGCAACGAAGGUCGGCGCAAGCUGGCUGAGCGGGUUUGCUUACCUCCAGAGAUGGCGCGUAUACAAAGACACACUCGUAUCGAUGCAGGACUUUCUAGAGGCUCCACAAAUACUCACAGCAUCUAUUCAAUGACAUUGCGUUAUGCAUAACGGCACAAGAAAGCUUCGAGACUCGGCUGCGUUAGUUACGCCAACUUCGAAAAGUAAACAGGAAGCUGCCAUGGCACUUUUUGCAGGAAGCAGGUGGCGCUUCAUACAUCCGAAACCGAAACAGAAACUAGCAAAGCCAAUCUUUUUUUUCGUUUUUUUUUUUGUAAGCGUUAAUCUCGUUUUUAGCGCUCGGAAAGUAUUCUAUUGGUUUGUUGCAGGGCGUCCGUGUCAUUGAAGGAUUCAGUCCCAGUUUAAAUGCUUUAAAUCCUUCAAACAGUUUGUAUUUUUUGCACCGCCAGUACACAGAAGCGUUUUAUAACGAUCUUUAUUGAUAAAUCUAUAUGUGGCCAUUGUUUAUUGCGUUUUGAAGAGCACUCGCUUCGUCUUUCCAACAAGACUCGUAGGUUCGGCGCUCCGAUUUGCAUUUAAGCUGUCAUCUUCUCGGAAGCAGGCACUCAUGCUUGGAGACCUGCAGAGCCCGAACUGCAGCAUGUAUGCCGAAAUAAACAGCUAUUGCCUAUUUCAAAUAGAA